rnacentral:rRNA from 1 species
GAAUGUCAAAUUUCUAAUAUGAGAAAUUAACGAUUUAAGUCCUUCUUAAAUGAGGCCAUUUACCCAAAGAGGGUGCCAGGCCCGUAUAACGUUAAUGAUUAUUAGAUGACAUUUCCUAAGAGUCGUGUUGCUUGAUAGUGCAGCACUAAGUGGGUGGUAAACUCCAUCUAAAACUAAAUAUAACCAUGAGACCGAUAGUAAACAAGUACCGUGAGGGAAAGUUGAAAAGAACUCUGAAUAGAGAGUUAAAUAGUACGUGAAACUGCUUAGAGGUUAAGCCCGAUGAACCUGAAUAAUCAAUUAUGGAGUACUCAUCAUUAUGAUUUUAAUAUUUUAAAAAUAUUAAAAUAAUGGUGUGCAUUUUCUUCAUAAAAUGACAUUGUAAUCUAUUAACAUUAAAAAUAUUUAUCAAAAGAUCAUAUUGCACUAGUUUAUUCCAAUUAAUUUGCUUGCAAUUUAACACAGAGUAAAUGCAUUUGAUUUGAUAAAGUGUUGAUAGAUUUUAUUUAUAUAUAGUGCUUAAAUAUAUAAUAUAUAUUUUAUAAUAUCAUAUUAAUCAAGAUUUUUAUGUUUAUUAUAUGCACUUAUAUGAUUAACAAUGCGAAAGAUUCAGGAUACCUUCGGGACCCGUCUUGAAACACGGACCAAGGAGUCUAACAUAUUUGCAAGUUAUUGGGAAUAAAAACCUAAUAGCGUAAUUAACAUAACUUUGUUUUAAUAUGGGAUUAGUUUUUAGUACAAUUUUUGUGCUAUUAAUUCAAUCCCGGGGCGUUCAUUACAGUUAUGUAUAAUAAUAUUUAUAUUAUUUAUACCUCUAACUAGAGCGUACCUUGAGCAUAUAUGCUGUGACCCGAAAGAUGGUGAUCUAUACUUGAUCAGGUUGAAGUCAGGGGAAACCCUGAUGGAAGACCGAAACAGUUCUGACGUGCAAAUCGAUUGUCAGAAUUGAGUAUAGGGGCGAAAGACCAAUCGAACCAUCUAGUAGCUGGUUCCCUCCGAAGUUUCCCUCAGGAUAGCUGGUGCAUUUAAAAAUUAUGUAAAAUAAUCUUAUCUGGUAAAGCGAAUGAUUAGAGGCCUUAGGGUCGAAACGACCUUAACCUAUUCUCAAACUUUAAAUGGGUAAGAACCUCACCUUUCUUGGUAUGAAGGUAGUGGUUGUGAUAUAAUGUGCCCAGUGGGCCACUUUUGGUAAGCAGAACUGGCGCUGUGGGAUGAACCAAACGUAAUGUUACGGUGCCCAAAUUAACAACUCAUGCAGAUACCAUGAAA